GUUUCCAUAGUGCAGUGGUUAUCACAUUCACCUAACACGUGAAAGGUCCCUGGUUUGAAACUGGGUGGUAACA